rnacentral:rRNA from 1 species
AUUGAACGCUGGCGGCAUGCUUUACACAUGCAAGUCGAACGGUAACAGGCCGCAAGGUGCUGACGAGUGGCGAACGGGUGAGUAAUGCAUCGGAACGUGCCCAGUCGUGGGGGAUAACUGCUCGAAAGAGCAGCUAAUACCGCAUACGAUCUAUGGAUGAAAGCGGGGGACCGUAAGGCCUCGCGCGAUUGGAGCGGCCGAUGUCAGAUUAGGUAGUUGGUGGGGUAAAGGCUCACCAAGCCAACGAUCUGUAGCUGGUCUGAGAGGACGACCAGCCACACUGGGACUGAGACACGGCCCAGACUCCUACGGGAGGCAGCAGUGGGGAAUUUUGGACAAUGGGGGCAACCCUGAUCCAGCGAUGCCGCGUGCAGGAAGAAGGCCUUCGGGUUGUAAACUGCUUUUGUACAGAACGAAAAGCUCUGGGUUAAUACCCUGGGGUCAUGACGGUACUGUAAGAAUAAGCACCGGCAAACUACGUGCCAGCAGCCGCGGUAA